ACACAACACAACAGUUACACCUUCUCAAAUUCUUCAUUGCAGGUGCACAAAUCCUAUUCUACAAAUCACACAUUUAGAAACUCGUACGCUCACAUUUUUGAAACAAUUGCUGCAGUGAAUGUGGUGCAAAACGCAUUUACACACCCGCAUCAAGAAAUGUGCAGUCGUGGAGAAAUGUUGAACAUCCGCAAAUCAGUACGUGAAUUCAUCAAAUGAGAGUUGCACACUUGUAGAAUAUUUUUCUCAGAAAUGUCUUGUAUAUUUUUCAACCUGAUCUCAAAGAAAUGCGUGAAAUGAACACGAGCCCUUAAUCCCGAUAUACGUGGUGGUGGCACGGAAUGUGUUGAAAUUACGUGUCGGCACCACGGAAACAACACACAUACAAAGUCAAUGAAGCUAAUUUGUCGUGGUGGACACACGGAUUCCCUGGUUCAACAACGUCACACAGUGGGCGGCGGGUCUUUGAUGAUCCCAAUGAUGCCAGGAUCCACAUGGCAGCAUUGAUUAGUGAUGCUUAUCUCCAUGAUGCCAGGGUAAGGCUUGUCAUGAGAAGCAAAUACCUAAGUCUGAAAAUACUAAUUGCUAUUGCUGUUUAUAGUGAUGAAAAGGGUUAGUAAGACCCUUUUAUGCAACUACUGAAUAAUGCACAAUUAUAAGUGCUGCUGGUAUAAGUGCU
rnacentral:lncRNA from 1 species